rnacentral:rRNA from 1 species
AUUGAACGCUGGCGGCGUGCUUAACACAUGCAAGUCGAUCGGUAACAGGUGUAGCAAUACAUGCUGACGAGAGGCGGACGGGUGAGGAAUAUUUGGGAAUCUGCCCAUCAGCGGGGGACAACCCGGGGAAACCCGGGCUAAUACCGCAUACGCUCUACGGAGGAAAGCCGGGGACCGCAAGGCCUGGCACUGAUGGAUGAGCCCAAAUCGGAUUAGCUAGUUGGCGGGGUAACGGCCCACCAAGGCGACGAUCCGUAGCUGGUCUGAGAGGGCGAUCAGCCACACCGGAACUGAGACGCGGUCCGGACUCCUACGGGAGGCAGCAGUGGGGAAUAUUGGACAAUGGGGGAAACCCUGAUCCAGCGACGCCGCGUGGGUGAAGAAGGCCUGCGGGUUGUAAAGCCCUUUCGGUAGGGACGAAAGCUCUUGCUCCAACAAAGCAGGAGGUUGACUUAACCUACAUAAGAAGCACCGGCUAACUCUGUGCCAGCAGCCGCUGUAAUAC